rnacentral:rRNA from 1 species
CUGACCGAGCAACGCCGCGUGAGUGAAGAAGGUUUUCGGAUCGUAAAGCUCUGUUGUAAGUCAAGAACGUGUGUGAGAGUGGAAAGUUCACACAGUGACGGUAGCUUACCAGAAAGGGACGGCUAACUACGUGCCAGCAGCCGCGGUAAUACGUAGGUCCCGAGCGUUGUCCGGAUUUAUUGGGCGUAAAGGGAGCGCAGGCGGUCAGGAAAGUCUGGAGUAAAAGGCUAUGGCUCAACCAUAGUGUGCUCUGGAAACUGUCUGACUUGAGUGCAGAAGGGGAGAGUGGAAUUCCAUGUGUAGCGGUGAAAUGCGUAGAUAUAUGGAGGAACACCAGUGGCGAAAGCGGCUCUCUGGUCUGUCACUGACGCUGAGGCUCGAAAGCGUGGGUAGCGAACAGGAUUAGAUACCCUGGUAGUCCACGCCGUAAACGAUGAGUGCUAGGUGUUAGGCCCUUUCCGGGGCUUAGUGCCGGAGCUAACGCAAUAAGCACUCCGCCUGGGGAGUACGACCGCAAGGUUGAAACUCAAAGGAAUUGACGGGGGCCCGCACAGGCGGUGGAGCAUGUGGUUUAAUUCGAAGCAACGCGAAGAA